rnacentral:rRNA from 1 species
UACGGAGGGGGCGAGCGUUGUCCGAAUUUAUUGGGCGUAAAGGGUGUGUAGGCGGUUGUUUAAGUUUGGUGUGAAAUCUCCCGGCUCAACUGGGAGGGUGCGCCGAAUACUGAAUGACUUGGAGUGCGGGAGAGGUGAGUGGAAUUCCUGGUGUAGCGGUGAAAUGCGUAGAUAUCUGGAGGAACACCGGUGGCGAAGGCGGCAUCCUGGACCGGCAUUGACGCUGAGGCGCGAAAGCCAGGGGAGCAAACGGG